GCUAUCGCGCAACUUCACGACUUCACGUGUCAUAUGGCGACGGCGUACACGUUGGCGAACGUCGCAACGAUUGUAGAACGUCAUUGAGAGCCGCUGGACACGUCGAGAUACAUUUUCGUAGAUAAGUACGCAUACAAGUGUUGUGUUGUCGUGAGCUCUCAACUCGUCUCAUAUUUCUUCUACCUGCUUCUAACUCUUGUUGAGGGCAUUAGACGUGCGAGAACGAUGGCGCCGAAACAACGGAUGCGCAUCGCGAACGAGAAGGCGACGAAAAACAUCACGCUACGUGGAAACGUCCCCAAGUCGUCGAAAUCGCAAGAGGAGGGAUCUCCAGUUGGACCUUGGCUCUUAGCUCUGUUUCUCUUUGUUGUUUGUGGAUCUGGUUGUCUUGAGAUGUCAUAAACCUGGUCUUAUUAGCAUCUAAGACAUUACUUAAGACGAUCUUGAAAUAAGAAGACUUAGAAGACUAUGCCGUGUUUCAAAUCAUCCAGAGUAUCAGAAUGGCUUGAAGAUGAAGAAAGAGAAGAUGCUACUGUUGAUAUUAUUACGACAAACCAUUUACAAUUCGUUGAUAUUCGAAGGAGACUGACAAACCGUUUUAAUGUAAAUUAUAAAGAAGAUUACAGAUUACGAGAGAACAUGGCAAAAUUUAGACAGUAGCUGAAAAAUUAUUUUCCUUUUGCAGAAGAAGCUCAAAGAUUUAUUUAUAACAUUUAGCAUUUAUACAAACGUUUAACUUAAUUGCGCUACACAUAGAUGAAGGGAAAAUGCUCGAAUGUACAAAAUAAAUAUUGUCCCAAAAAACAAUAUAUCUAUGAAACUUAAUGAAUCGAGAAAGAGAAAAUUAUUUAUAUUGAAUUUCUUAUUACGCUUCCAACAUAACGUUUCCGUUAAUGUGUGUUAACGAAAAUGUCUAUGUAAUUUUUAUUCACAUGUAUUCUUUCGUCUAUGUGUAUGUAGUAAAUAAUUGUAUAUAUACACACACGAAUGAUUUUAUCACGCAGAUUUCUCUUCAAACAGAUCUGCCCAAUAGCAUGUAAAGCUCAACUCCAAUGAUUGGACAGAUCUGUUUUAAAGCAUUCCACUGUAAACAGUUGGUAGCUUUCUGUUGUAAUGGCCUUUGAACGAUGCUUUUGUGUUAUGAGGUCGUUAUAUACAUAUACAAAUAUAUAUUAUACAUCUCAAAAAAUGAUUUGUGUAUAUGAAAUAUUUGCU